UGAAGACGAUUAUUAUUGAUUAUU
rnacentral:miRNA from 1 species